GUAAAGCGUGCGUAGGCGGCUUUUAAGUCGGAUGUGAAAUCCCUGAGCUUAACUUAGGAAUUGCAUUCGAUACUGGGGAGCUAGAGUAUGGGAGAGGAUGGUAGAAUUCCAGGUGUAGCGGUGAAAUGCGUAGAGAUCUGGAGGAAUACCGAUGGCGAAGGCAGCCAUCUGGCCUAAUACUGACGCUGAGGUACGAAAGCAUGGGGAGCAAACAGGAUUAGAUACCCUGGUAGUCCAUGCCGUAAACGAUGUCUACUAGCCGUUGGGGCCUUUGAGGCUUUAGUGGCGCAGCUAACGCGAUAAGUAGACCGCCUGGGGAGUACGGUCGCAAGACUAAAACUCAAAUGAAUUGACGGGGGCCCGCACAAGCGGUGGAGCAUGUGGUUUAAUUCGAUGCAACGCGAAGAACCUUACCUGGCCUUGACAUACUAAGAACUUUCCAGAGAUGGAUUGGUGCCUUCGGGAACUUAGAUACAGGUGCUGCAUGGCUGUCGUCAGCUCGUGUCGUGAGAUGUUGGGUUAAGUCCCGCAACGAGCGCAACCCUUUUCCUUAUUUGCCAUCGGGUAAUGCCGGGAACUUUAAGGAUACUGCCAGUGACAAACUGGAGGAAGGCGGGGACGACGUCAAGUCAUCAUGGCCCUUACGGCCAGGGCUACACACGUGCUACAAUGGUCGGUACAAAGGGUUGCUACCUCGCGAGAGGAUGCUAAUCUCAAAAAGCCGAUCGUAGUCCGGAUCGCAGUCUGCAACUCGACUGCGUGAAGUCGGAAUCGCUAGUAAUCGCGGAUCAGAAUG
rnacentral:rRNA from 1 species